rnacentral:rRNA from 1 species
UACGAAGGGGGGCUAGCGUUGCUCGGAAUCACUGGGCGUAAAGGGUGCGUAGGCGGGUCUUUUAAGUCAGGGGUGAAAUCCUGGAGCUCAACUCCAGAACUGCCUUUGAUACUGAAGAUCUUGAGUUCGGGAGAGGUGAGUGGAACUGCGAGUGUAGAGGUGAAAUUCGUAGAUAUUCGCAAGAACACCAGUGGCGAAGGCGGCUCACUGGCCCGAUCUGACGCUGAGGCACGAAAGCGUGGGGAGCAAACAGGGAUAGAAACCCU